UCCUGAUUGUAUGUGGUCGCCGGCACGGAAGGACAGCGCGCUUGAGCUGCUGCAGCUGGGCGUCUCCGGCUCGCCAAGAUCGAUCCCGACCACCACGACACCCACCAACCUGAAGAUGCUUGCCCACCGCGUCCACCUUGGCCAAAAAUCUGGGACCUCGCCGUUAUGCAGUGCCGGCCUCCCUGAGUUCAUGCUGCUCGGAGAUGUGCUGCCGGUGCCUUCCCCGACCUGCGGCCUCUGGCCACAUGACGCCGCAACAUCCGUCCGAUGAGUUCACCAGCUACUGAUGUCGCCGUAAGGGAGGACCUGCAGCUCGCCCUGGGGCUGCCGCAAGCACGAGGAGGGACACUCAACUACCGUCGCACUGAGAGGAUGACUAGAUGACACAGCCAGGGAAAGCUGGUUGGAGGGGAUGCGGCUCACCACGAUGGCGAUCAUGGCGUAAUAGGGAUAUCUUGGUUAGCAGAGAAGCUGGCACACAUCUAGCAGCAAUAACCUGCUGCAUCAUUGUCACUUGUCGGAAGCUGGAAGAAGAAAACACAUCUGCAUGCUGCAGCCUUGGUCGCGCCUGCCAGCUCCGAGAGAAUUUUUGUAAUUCAUGUUGUGUUGUAAUGGUUAACCAUCAGUGUUUGUCCCAGAACUGAAACUGAUUUGAUGCCACGUGUUGAUCUGCUGGCUUUGCCUAUGACGUGCUGGUUAUGCUGGUUGAGUUUGAGUCUUAAAAUACUUAGAUAUGCAAAUAUGUUUCUCGCCUUUUGCUGUGGUCAUACCAAUUUUUCUGAUGCCUUUGCUGAUUAGUUGGCUUGACUAUGUAUUUUCUUAGCAUCACACAGAUCUGUCUCUCACAAUGUCCGAAUGU